UACGUAGGGGGCAAGCGUUGUCCGGAUUUAUUGGGCGUAAAGAGCGUGUAGGCGGUCAGGUAGGUCCGUUGUGAAAACUCGAGGCUCAACCUCGAGACGCCGAUGGAAACCAUCUGACUAGAGUCCGGAAGAGGAGAGUGGAAUUCCUGGUGUAGCGGUGAAAUGCGCAGAUAUCAGGAAGAACACCCGUGGCGAAGGCGGCUCUCUGGGACGGUACUGACGCUGAGACGCGAAAGCGUGGGGAGCAAACAGG
rnacentral:rRNA from 1 species